rnacentral:rRNA from 1 species
UACGGAGGGAGCUAGCGUUGUUCGGAAUCACUGGGCGUAAAGCGCACGUAGGCGGAUGUGUCAGUCAGGGGUGAAAUCCCGGAGCUCAACUUCGGAACUGCCUUUGAUACAGCACGUCUUGAGUCCGAUAGAGGUGGGUGGAAUUCCUAGUGUAGAGGUGAAACUCGUAGGUAUUAGGAAGAACACCGGGUGGCGAAGGGCGGCCCACUGGAUCGGUACUGACGCUGAGGUGCGAAAGCGUGGGGAGCAAACAGG